ncrna:Tetraodon nigroviridis (spotted green pufferfish) microRNA tni-mir-200b precursor
CCAUCUUACGAGGCAGCAUUGGAUAGCAUCACUUUUUCUAAUACUGCCUGGUAAUGAUGAUGAU